AUUUGGUUCAUAUAAAAGUAAGAAUCUUUUUCAUCAUUAUGAGGAACUUGUUAAAUGAGAGGAUUACUAUGCAUUUUAUGAACAUUUUGAGGUCCACAUAUCCCUUCAAGAUUGGUUUUCUUUGGAUUUUUUACUCUUAGAUCGGAUUUCAGUUUUUGUUCUUGGAUUGUAGACUCACUUAGAUUAACAUGAGGUUUCAUAGUCUAAGUAUUUAAACAUUGCGAGAUAUUUUAAUUUGU
rnacentral:misc_RNA from 1 species